rnacentral:rRNA from 1 species
AGAGUUUGAUCCUGGCUCAGGAUAAACGCUGGCGGCGCACAUAAGACAUGCAAGUCGAACGGAAGUCGUUGUAAUGAUAUAGACAUGGACUGAGAACUUGUUCAAAGAAAAUGAAAGUUGACUUACAACAAUGGCUUUAGUGGCGGACUGGUGAGUAACACGUAAGCAACCUGCCUAUCAGAGGGGAACAACAGUUAGAAAUGACUGCUAAUACCGCAUAUGCCUUAGCAACACAUGUUGCAAAAGGGAAAGGAGCAAUCCGCUGAUAGAUGGGCUUGCGUCUGAUUAGAUAGUUGGUGGGGUAACGGCCUACCAAGUCGACGAUCAGUAGCCGGACUGAGAGGUUGAACGGCCACAUUGGGACUGAGAUACGGCCCAGACUCCUACGGGAGGCAGCAGUCGGGAAUAUUGCGCAAUGGAGGAAACUCUGACGCAGUGACGCCGCGUGCAGGAAGAAGGUUUUCGGAUUGUAAACUGCUUUAGACAGGGAAGAACAAAGACAGUACCUGUAGAAUAAGCUCCGGCUAACUACGUGCCAGCAGCCGCGGUAAUACGUAGGGAGCAAGCGUUAUCCGGAUUUAUUGGGUGUAAAGGGUGCGUAGACGGUAAUGCAAGUUAGUUGUGAAAUCCCUCGGCUUAACUGAGGAACUGCAACUAAAACUACAUUUCUUGAGUAUUGGAGGGGAAAGUGGAAUUCCUAGUGUAGCGGUGAAAUGCGUAGAUAUUAGGAGGAACACCGGUGGCGAAGGCGACUUUCUGGACAAUUACUGACGUUGAGGCACGAAAGUGUGGGGAGCAAACAGGAUUAGAUACCCUGGUAGUCCACACCGUAAACGAUGGAUACUAGGUGUAGGAUGUGAUAAACAUUCUGUGCCGUCGCAAACGCAAUAAGUAUCCCACCUGGGGAGUACGGCCGCAAGGUUGAAACUCAAAGGAAUUGACGGGGGCCCG